UCCGCAUCUAUAUAAAAUAAAAGCCCCUACCAAUCGGGCUUCCAAAAGCUCAAGCUACCGGAGGGCGGAUCGUUGAGAUUCCGUCGGAGCUCCGAUCAGUCGCCGACAUAAUUUAAAGUUCGUGUUUUCAUUGAAUCAAAAGUCUCUCAAAUUUACUUUGCUUUCUUGUUUUUGUGUGAAUUUUGGCUGAGUUCUAGGUACUGAUAUAACCGUAAACUAGCCGCAUUUCAGUUACUUGUGAUGAAUUACGGUCCCUUCGGUUCCGAGCAAGCUAGGGAUAAGAAAAUCACCUCGUUUGCAUCUUUGAUUUGUCGCAGUUUUUUUCCUUUUCUUUGUUCAUUUUGGUUGAGCCAGGGGUCCUGCAUUAAAUGAAACUGUUCGCAUUUUGGUUAACUGCGAUGAGCUACGGCCCGUUUGAUUCCGGAAAAGCUAGGAAUAAAAAAUCACUCCAUUUGCUUCUUUAAUCUCUCUCUCUCUCUCUGUGGUUAAUUUUGGUUGGCGUAGGUACUGUUGUAACUAAUAAACUGAUACAUUUUAGUUUUACCACAAGGGACAGCACGCACAAAAGGUGUGUGCCUAAUCCUUACUUUUGAAUUAUCUAUUUUUCUUCUUCAUUGUUCUUCUUCCCCUUCGUUGUGCAUAUAAAUCAAAGCGUACGAAGACGGAUGUAGUUAUGGUAACGAACUAAAGAAGUUGGGAUACCCCUGAAGUUUUAACCAAUGAUAUAUAUAAAUUUUGAUAGUUGCCGUUUAAGUAAUUAUAAAGUUAUUUGAGUUAUUUGAAGGGUAUAUAUAUGAAUAUAUGAAUCGUUUGAGAAUGUGACAUGGCUUCAAAAGUGAAACACCAAAUUGGUGUGUCUUAUCUGGUCAAGUAAGGGCCUGUUAAUUCCCAAGAAGUAGAGCAAAAAGGAGGCAGUAAAUUUUCUUCAGUUUGUGUUGUUUUUGCGGUAAGUAGUAACAAGCUGGGAUUAUACUCCAUUUGGUUCUCUGGGAGAAUGAGGACUAAGAACAAAAUACCUGUACUAAAUUCCAAACUUUUGUUGCUCUAAGUUAUUUUAGUUUCCUUUUUUCAUUUAUUCCUUGACUUUGUGAGAGAGAAUUAUAUUUGAGAAAAGUUUACCUUGUCUUAUUGUAGUUUCUGCUCAUCUGCUUGUUUAAUACUUUAAGCACAUUAUGUUAGGGUGUUACUUUUUGUUUGUGUUUCAUGUCAAUUAUUGUUAGAAUCUAGUGAAAUGAUGUUAACUGCGAUGCCUUAUUAGAUAUUCUAUAUGAAGCUUGUGUGGUGCCAUAUUUAUGCUUUUGUUGUUUGGCAAUUCUUGUGAAGUGUUAUCUUCACAGUUUGGAUGUAACUUUUGCUGCAUUGCCUGCAUUUUAUUAUUUCUUACAUUGUUAUUGAAAGGUGGCAACAACUAACUGGGUGUGGGGAACCCUAUCAAACCUCUUUUGUCCUCAUGCAAUGGCCAACAACCAGUUUCCAGAAUAUUAUUUUGGGUAAAACAUGGAAAAAAAUAUGACCUUAUAAAUGACAAAUUUGGUCGUUUCUGAAAAAUCUAGUUUUUGCGUUGUAUGAUAGGAGAGGAUAUGACCUUAUUCAUGACAAAUUUGGUCAUUUCUGAAAAAUCCAGUUUAUGUGUUGUACGAGGACAUGAAGUUUGAUAGGAAAAGAUAUGACCUUAUUGGCGACAAAUUUUGUUGUUUCUGAAAAUCUAGUUUAUACAUUGUACAAGGACAUGAAGGUUUGAUAGGGAAAUAAAUGACCUUACAGACAACAAAUUUGGUCGUUUCUCCAAAAUCUAGUUUAUGCUUGGAGUAGUGAUCACAGACUGUUGAGCAUACAUCAAUUUCAAGUAUUCCAAAAGGAGGAAGGUGAGAACAAAAAAAGAACUCAUUUGAUUAAACGGUGUGCUAAUAAAUAUGUGUCAUAAAAAUUAUAGUUCCGAGUACUUGGCCAAGUUCUAAUUAUGUCAAUGGAUAUUAUAAUUGAGCUGGAUAUGUGGCAAAUUUUUUCCUUCUUUGCAAGGGCCAUCAUUUUAGUGGAUUUACUUGUUUCAGAAAUGAAUUGCAGUGCGUGUAAGUUAGGUUGGUGGUGUUAUGGAGUUUGGAAGCAUUCCAUAAUUACAUUCCAAAGAUGCUUGCAUCGAGAAAGGAUAUUACGAAACAAAAAAUAGAAAGGUGAGAGAAAAACUAAAAGACAAGGUAUUAAAGCAGUCAAAUAGGAAGUGUUGAAAGAAAUUUCAAUGCUGUGCUACUUGUUAUGAAUUUGGAGGUUGAAAUCCUAAUACUUGAAACUUAAGGACCCAUGGGUUUCUGGAUAGCAUUUAGUAGUAUGGGAUGAUGUUUCGGGUAAAUCUGUUUAAUGGCACCAUAUUGAAUUUGUUGACAAGUCUGAUAAGAUUGUACUAGAGUGGAAUUGGAAGGGCAUGAAUACUUGAAGGAAAUGAGGAUGUGGUGAUUGAAAGAGCAUGAAUACUUGAAGCAAAAUGACUAUUUUCUUUUUACAUGAUGAUCUGUUUUUGUUGUUAUGUAUUAAUUUUAUUAUUAUUAUUUUUUGGCUUGGAAAUAGAUGACUCAAAAUACAAAAAGAAGAUAGUAUAAGCAUUUCAAUGAGCAAUGAGGUUGAGGUGAAUUAGUUUGGUCACUAUAUAUAAUUUGAUUUAAUUAGGCACGAGUUCUAUGUUAAUAUUCUUCUUCGAGGAUAAAUCUGGCCAUACCAUGUGAAAUUAACUUUUUAUUCAAGGAAGGGUCAUGUUUACCCAAAAGUAUAAAUCAUGAUGGAAGGUGUCUAGACUACCUAAGAUGGUUAACGUGACAUCAUUUAAAUAUAAUGAUCACGAGUUAACUAUUCUGUUAGGUUGCUUGUAUCAGCAAGCUUGUGUUUUACCUACAGCUGGAAGGAUAAGUAAUCUGUUUGUUCAUUCUUCCAACAUAUGUCCAUAUGAGAAGAUGGGUGGCAUAAUGCACUGAUUCUAGUAAGAUCGUAAUGGGUUUUGAAGUCCUUAAAAUUAUUAAUGACCUCAAAAGAUUUCUUUCUUCAAUCUGGUUUGGGUAAUCCAUGCAUCCAAGUCCAUCCUGGAAAUUUGAUGAGUUAUAUACUUGUUUGGUUCAAACUGUGGUGCCUUACUUGGAUAGGGUGUUAAGAUCUUGCUAUAUUUCUUCUUUAGCAUCUGUUUCUUUAUGGUACUAGCAUGCGUCUUUGAUCAAUUUAAAUGUUGACCUGAGGGCAUUUGCAUAUGGUACUGGCAUGCGUCUUUGUUACAGAAAAUCUUGGGCAUUGGUUAUAGUAUUUAAAACUUCAGUGUAGAGUCCAAUAUACUAGUGGUACCUCUUCUUUUGUUGGGGAACUUUUGAGGCUCUUUUACUCGUGCUUCGUACAGGGCCUUCCUUUUUUCAGCAAUUUCCAUUUUAUAGGAUUGUUUUACCUUAUAAAAAAAUAAUAAUAAAUAAAAAACUUCCUGGUUCAUUCCAAACUUCUUUUUCAUUAUAUCCCACAUGUUUUGCAAGUGGUGAAUAUACUGAAACAGUAUCUGAAUUCCAUCCUAUCAAAGACAAACUCUGAAAGGCCUAGCUACCAUAAAUCUUACAAAAUUGGGGAGACUUCUAUCUUCUUUGUUAUCUUUACUCAGUCGGGCAGGUCUUAAAAGUUCUGACUUACAAUAUGUGACCCAAGCAGUUAGAUGAUAAGUGAUUACUAACAAAACAAGCUUGAAUCUUCUGAGUGAAGUGAAGACCAGAUGGUAUUUUUGGUAAAGUUUUACUUAUUGAAGAAGACACAGUGGUGGAAUCGCAGAUCAAGGUAGGCAUUCCUUGAUGGAUGAUCAAAUUAACUCACCUCUGCAAUCUCUUGCACUCUUUCCGCUGAGCUGACUUUCUUAGACCACAUUUGAUAUUUUGAUCUAUUGCUUCCACCAUAGGUUUGGGGCGUCUAUUGAUGGUGUCCAAUUUAGACAGAUUUCAACUUCUUGAAGACAUCAAUCAUUCGACUAUUGCUAUGCACAGCUGAAGGCUUUGGAGUUCCUCAGUGGCUGCAUUUAGUUUUUGUGUGGUUAAUUAUUGAUCUACUUGUUGAUGAUUCCUUCUGUCGGAGUUAAGCUGCUUAGAGCUGUUCAACAUUUGUUGGAUUAUGUUGUUGCUGAUUCUAAUCAUCUGUGACAGUGGGCUAGAUAUCAACACCGGCAUGGGCUAUUUGCCUGGUUGAAUGAGUGACUAGAUAUUCUUUAUAGGUUUUGGAAUCCUUGCUUAACUUGUUCCUAAAUGCAGGUGCUUUAGCCUCCCAACCAGCUGCUACACAUUCUUUUUCAUUCAUUCAAAGGACACAGGACAAAUGAUGGGUGUAGCUUAUGCUUUUGAAGCACUUAAGUUUCAGCCCGAGGACUUGAAAGCAACUAAUGAGGGACACAACAUGGAGGCAGAUAAGCUGCACUCUCAGCAUUCUUCCGGAGAGUGUGUGCCAGCUGAGGGAGCUAUGUCUGAUGAGAAAAUCACCAAUGCGGAAUUGCUGGAUAAAGGAUUCAUGGAGUAUAAGUGCCCUCAUUAUCAAAGGAGGUGUUGCAUUAGAGCCCCAUGUUGCAAUGAAAUUUUUGAUUACCGUCACUGUCAUAAUGAGGCAAAGAAUAGUCUCGAUGUUGAUCAAAAGCAUAGACAUGAUGUUCCACGCCAUCAAGUUCAACAGGUAGAUCUUGCACCUACCUAGAACUUCUGCCUCUUGGAAAGUCUCCCUUGUCUUGGUUUGGUAGUUCUUUUGUUUUCCCUUGGCUCCCCGGCUGAUUUAAGACGUUAUACUUUUCAUUUUCAGGUUAUUUGCUUACUCUGUUUGAUGCAUUUUGUCCUCGUCACAAUUAUACAAUAUAUCAGAAUUAACUUCUAAAAAAUUGAUUUUAGAGAUGAAAACUUGGCAAGGAAAGCUGAAUUCUUGUUUUAACUGACUAUUUAAAAAAGAAGAAAGAAAGCAAUUAUCUUGAUGCAUAAUACAAAAACUAGCAGAAAAUUGAAAUAUACAUAUUUCUUGUAAAACUUCAGAAGAAACCUGAAAUGGACAAUAGCUUACAAUUUGUUUGUUCUUUGUUUGAAAAAUAACUUGCACUGUCCUAUUUAUGGUGGCUUUUGUUAUGACCAAGUCCGGCAAAUCUGCAUCAAUUGUGGUGUGUAUGGGAAAAUACUUUUGUGAGAAAUGCAAGCUGUGGGAUGAUGAUGUGAGUGGGUACUUUUUUAUGCGUGCCAGUAUUUUCUCUGUAGGAAGGAACGCAUUUAGGAAAGUAUUGUGCAGCAUAAAUGGUUAUUCUUCUAGACAUGGAAGGUGACAAAUGGCAAAGAUGGAGUGUUACGAAGUCAAAACUCCUGAACACUUGUUUGUUUUAAUACGCAUUCUAAUGUUCUUGUACAGUCACUCUUUCCUGAUGCAUAUUUUUACUUUUUUGGACUACAAGAUAUUAAAGAAACAAUAUCAUUGCGAUGGUUGUGGUAUAUGCAGGUAUGAUUAUUGAUCUGAUUUUAUGUUUUAAGCAUCACAGUUUCAUUUAUGUUACAAGUACUUUUGUGGAGAGCAGUUUUUUCUUCAUACUGCUAUAUUAUGGUGGAGAUAAGAAGUGUGGUUUCAAGGGGUCUCAUAUCUUCUAAAACCACUCAUACCUAUUUCCAAAGAAACUAAUGAUGUGUAAGUGGCUUAUUUAACAAGGCGUCUAGGAUAAUUUGAGUGGUAAAAAUUUAUAUUAAUGUGAGAUGAAAAUGCCUAAAUCUACGUUGAUGAACUUAUCCCUUUUCUUAGUAAUUCUCAAAUAAUAUUUUUUGUACAUUUUCCCCUACAUUUUGGACUCGUGUUUGUUGCAGAAUUGGUGGGCGGGAGAAUUUCUUCCACUGCAGCAAAUGCCGUUAGUCGUCGUUCAUUGCCUUUCAUUCUUUCUGCAGAUGUUGAUAUGUAGUGUAGGAAUGUUCACCGGGGAUAUUAAACUUUGAUCGAUUGUUUCAACUGCUGAUUUUUUUUUUAAUUUUUUUUUUCUGGAUGUAUCAUUCAGGAUGUUGCUAUUCUCUGCUGCCUUUGAAGAAUAGUCAUUUAUGCAUCGAGGGAGCAAUGCAUCAUGACUGUCCUGUUUGCUUUGAGUAUCUAUUCAAAUCGAGGGAGGGUAUAAGUGUUCUGCCGUGUGGGCAUACCAUACACCCAUAGUUAUUAAAGGCGUGCCUAGGUGCGCGCCUAGGCGCAAAGUGCCUUAAGGCGCCAGUUUGGCGCCUCACCUGGGCUAAGGCGAGGCGGUUUCUGCAAGGCGCUCGCCUUGCAAGGUGAGGCACUGAGGCGAGAGGCGCGUCUCAUGAAACCUGCGCCUGCAUCCUGCUUGCAUCCUUUCUUCCUCUCCUCUCCAGCAUCCCCUCUUCUCAGCUUCAGCAUGUGCGCCUCGCCCCUCAGGCUCCAUGACCCUUUGCGCCUCGCUGCGUCUCGCGCCUUUUAAAACUAUGCAUACACCGCACGUGCUUAAAGGAGAUGCAGGAACAUUUCAACUAUGCAUGCCCUCUAUGCUCGAAGUCAAUCUGUGAUAUGUCGACGGUAUGGGAAAAAUACGAUGUGGCGAUUGCUUCUACACCCAUGUCAAGGCGCUACCAAAACAUGACGGUCUGGAUCCUUUGCAACGAGUGUGGAACCACAUCAGAAGCGCCAUACCAUGUCGUCGGUCUGAAAUGCUCCGGCUGCAAGUCUUACAACACUCGCCAAACAAGAGGAGGAUGAACGACAACAAUGGUUAGCAGCAAGCAUAAACCUGUCUCUCCACAACUGAAAGCUGAAGCAGGGAGCAUUACUCCCUUACAUACCACGCGCGGUCAGUGUCGGGGCUUUUCUGAAAUGUUUGAUUUUGUUGCAUCGUUUGCUUCAAUUUUAGUUCAUCCUUCCUUUCUAUUGCUCUUACAUACUAGCAUGCUGAUGCUCCGGGAGCAGUUGUUUUCUCUUCCCCCUAUUUCCAGUCUUUGGCUGCUUUUCUCCAUGCAAGGUUUUUGCUGUCUUAUCAUUUUUCUCUUUUUGGUAUUCUGGGUUUUGCCUUUGGACACUGGUCAAAAUCUAGAAUGGUAGGUCAGUGCUUUAUUGCCCACAUGUUUUGUGUGUGUGUGUGUGUGUGUGGGCGUGUGUGUGCGUGAGAGAGAGAGAGAGAGCACUUUAUAUUCAUUCAGUCAAAAACUUGUGGCGCUUCUACCACUAAGAUCAUGAACGACGAAUUACAAUGAGCAAAGGGAAAAACAUAUUACAUUAUUAAUGCUCACAUCGAACAUCCAUGGUGGUUGAAGCAGCAACCUUAAUAUAUAUAUAUAUAUAUAUUCAUGUAACAAAAAACAUGCUGCUGCUUUCACUCUUCUCCUUGUCCGAGUUUCUAGGAGAAGAAGAAACGUCCAUGCCUUUCUUCUCCUCCUCCAUCAAAAUCUCCUGCGACCUGCAGCUCUCACUGCAAAAUGCUUUCUCGCCCCUGCAAAUUGCCAAUUGCCAAAAACACACCAAAUCCCAAUCCUUUCAACCUCAAAGACCAACUAUUAGUUCUCUUACACAAAUAUAUAUAUAUGUAUAUAUGUAUGCUUUUUUUUUUUUUUUGUUUUUUGUGUGGCUAACCUGUAAAUGUAAAUGUCCUCUCCCUCUAGUCUCUUCUUGCAGGAGUAACAGCAGCUCAUAAAGUCACCGGCGGGAUAGAAAGCAGGGCAUUCGGUAGCUGUUUUCAGUUUUUUAGGAGAACCGGUUAUGGUGCUGUCGUGACAUUCAAAAAUACAGUCGCCAAAAAUAUGGGUUGUUUUUGGGUAGGGGCCGUAUGUUUUUACACAAGUAUAGUCUUCAGAGAGCUCAAUCUCGCUGGCAGAGAGCGACCCGGUAAAACAUUGGGCUGAGCUGAUGGAAAUAGAUGCGGGAUUCAGCUUCGUGGCUGACGAGUUUUCUGGGUUUCUUCCAUUUCCAGGACCGAAAUUCCCAGAACUCGAAUUGGUACUACUACUACUAUGGUUGGUUGAAGUGGUUACAAGGGACCAGGACCUUGCAGAGUCCAGUGAACAAGACAGGACCUUUUCGAAUGGUUCGGGUUCAAAUGGGGUUUCUCUGAUGCCAGACAAGACAUCGGAGUCACCCAUUUGGAGAUUUGGCGGUUUAACCCUGGGGCGACCAGAAACUCCAUAGUUUUUGGGCAGUGACUUGGGUGCUCCGGAAGAAUCAAUCCGGGUUUGAAAAUUUGGCAUUCUGAUGCUCCAAUGCGGUGCAAGGAGAAUAUUCCUACCAUCCCAUGACCGGAGAAUUUUCCCCGAGGGUGGUGCAUCAUCAUCAAGAGAAUCUAUAAUCCGGAGCCCUACUUUUCUGCAAUUCCAGCUCUUGUGAUGCCCCUCGGGCUCAGGGGCCAAUCUUGGGGACCUAAAUGGGUUUACUAGAUUUGAAAAUAGCCUAAAGUCCAAUGGAGAAGUAGGGCUUCUAACUGAAUCAGAUUCUGAGGCCUUGGGACUGAACCCCACAAACACGCCAGGGGCAUUCAAAACACAAUUGGUUUUCUUUUUGUGCCCCAAAACAUCAUAUUGAUGAACGCAAGACUCGGAAUCACUAUCAGAGAUUAGGUGA